rnacentral:rRNA from 1 species
CAGUCGCCGCGGGAAUACGUAGGUGGCAAGCGUUGUCCGGAAUUAUUGGGCGUAAAGGGCUCGCAGGCGGUUUCUUAAGUCUGAUGUGAAAGCCCCCGGCUCAACCGGGGAGGGUCAUUGGAAACUGGGAAACUUGAGUGCAGAAGAGGAGAGUGGAAUUCCACGUGUAGCGGUGAAAUGCGUAGAGAUGUGGAGGAACACCAGUGGCGAAGGCGACUCUCUGGUCUGUAACUGACGCUGAGGAGCGAAAGCGUGGGGAGCGAACAGGUUUAGAUACCCCUGUAGUCCCUGUCUCUUAUAC